rfam:Picea glauca, whole genome shotgun sequence.
UCUCUAACCACACUUUGAGUCGUGACUAGAUAAAUACCAAUAGAUAAUGAAGAGAGCACCUCAAAUUCGAAUAAGUGUAUGCUCGAGCAUAAUAGAUCAACUCCUUAUACUUUAUAUUCUCAGAUACAAAAUUUAUAUCGCCACCUGGGGUGGUAGUAUGUUACAAGGGUUGGGAUAUUCUCCCAUUAAUGCAGUAUGCAAGCUAGGUUUAGAAUGUCAUGAGACAAUUCGGUCUAUAUCUGAUGCAUGCACUAGAACAUUGAGAGGACCUUUCCCUAGUAUGAGAGGACCGGAAAGGAUGCACCUUUGGUGUAUCAUUUAUCAUGCCCACGAUAUAUGUUAGUUAUCCAAGUGCAGAGAAGAUAACUACUGAAAUCAUAUAAGUAGGUAGCCCACCCUAAGAUGAGUGCUCUCAUUUUCUUACUUCCCCAAGAGCCCCUAGUUGCGAAUACAACUAGGAAAAUGAAGGGUUAUUUGUCCUUGCAAGGGAUGGAGUGACAAAAUCAUUGAGAAUACAAGACAAUGUCACAGUGAUAUGAUCCAUUUAUCAUUACAAUAGGUGUCAAGUGGAAGUGUAGUGAUGUAUGCAACUGAGGAAUCCUAACAAGAUCAA